rnacentral:rRNA from 1 species
UACAGAGGGCGCGAGCGUUGUCCGGAAUCACUGGGCGUAAAGGGCGCGUAGGCGGCCCGCUAAGUCGAACGUGAAAUCCCCGAGCUCAACUCGGGAACUGCGUCCGAUACUGGUGGGCUUGAAUCCGGGAGAGGGAUGCGGAAUUCCAGGUGUAGCGGUGAAAUGCGUAGAUAUCUGGAGGAACACCGGUGGCGAAGGCGGCAUCCUGGACCGGCAUUGACGCUGAGGCGCGAAAGCUAGGGGAGCAAACGGGG